AUACGACCGCAAAAAUUUUUUGCGGUCGUAUAUUGGUACGACGUUGGCGUCGUCGUCGUCGUCCGAAGACACAUUGGUUUUCGCACUCUAACUUUAGUUUAAGUGAAUGGAUCUCUAUGAAAUUUUACCAUAAGGUUCAAUACCGCAAAAGGAAGGUUGGGAUUGAUUUUGGGGAUGAUGGUCCCAACCGUUUAGGAAUUAGGGGCCCAAAACAAGCAUUUUUCUAGUUUCGAAUAAUAACUUGUGUAUAAGUAUUUCGAUUGCUCUGAAAUUGUACGACAAUGUUUAAUACCACAAGGAGAAGGUUGGGAUUUAUUUUAGGGGUUAUGGGGCCAACAGUUUAGGAAUUAAGGGCCAAAAACAAGCAUUUUCUAGUUUCCAGACAAUAACUUGUGUGUAAGUGUAUGGGUCUCGCUGACAUUGUACCACAAGAUUCCAUAUCACAAAGGGAAGGCUAGGAUUGAGUUUGGGGUUAAUUACCCUAAUAUGUAGGAAUAAGGGGCCAAAAACAAGCAUUUUUCUAGUUUCAAGACAAUAACUUGUGUUUAAGUGUAUGGAUCUUUCUGAAAUUGUACUACAAGGUUCCAUACUACUAAGGAAAGGCUGGGAUUGAGUUUUGGGGUUAUUGCUCCAAGGGGGGUUUCAAAAAGUUUGGGGGGGGGGGGAUUUUUUUAGAGGAUUCAUAAUUUUUUUUCAAAAUUUUUCAAAUUUUGAAUUUUUGAAAAGUUUCAAGAAGAAAUCUUCAAUUGCACAGUAUUGCGCAAUAGAUUUGUAAGAUCUUGAACACAUUUAUUUUGUGUCAGAAAUCUAUAUUAUGUCAAAAAUUUUAUCACAAUCCAAAUUCAGAUAGUAUCAAGCUUGAAUAUUGUGUCCAAAUUUGUACCAACUGUUUAUGGUUCAACCUCUGCGGUCUUAUCAGGCUGUGCUCAGCGAAGCAUUUUAUUAUUUACUUGAAGAGGUAAAUAAUAAUAUACUUAUAUAAGUAAAUUUGUUAUAUUCAUAUUUUCUUAUAAAGUUUGAAUAAUCUCCCCUUAAUUUUCUCAAAAAAAUUUGCUUGUAUAUGUAAUUUUUUUUUACAAUCCCUAAAAUUCUCAAGUUUUGGGAUGUAAAAACACGCCUUAAACAAUUUUUCUCUGGUUAGCUCAUAAGUUUUUAUUAGAGUUCAAUGUUUCAUCUAGCAUGUCUAGUUAAUUCAACAGGGAAACUAAUUGCGCAAAGAUCUUAUGUAAUUGUGCAAGGCCUUCAAAAAUUGCCCCUUGGAGGCUUGUAAAUGAACAGUAAUUUUGGAAAAUAACAGACAAAUGAGAUUUUCAUGCAAUUACACAUCAAUAAUUAGUCCCCUACCGAGGAAGUCGAAGGGGACUUUAGGUUUGCACUCCGUCCGUCUGUCCAUCUGUCCAUCUGUCAGUCUGGCAAAUCAGCUUUCCACACUUUUUUUCUUCGUUCUUGAAGAUAUUGCUUUGUUAUUUAUUAUAUAGUUUUAUCAUGACAAGUUAUAGAUCAAGUUCGAAUUUUGUUCCGGUCUGAUGAUUUAGUCCAGAAUUAUGGACCAUAACUCUGGACCAUAUUUAAUGUUAGAGUACUAUGUUAAACCAUAUUUCUGUACAAAGGGAGAUAACUCAUUUUUUAAAAGAUAUUCUUUGUUAAAUUAUUUGAGGAAUUUUUUGACAGGUUUGUUUGUUAUUUAGUAUAAACUAAUUUUCUGAAUGCCAUAUAUCAUGUAUAUAUAAAAAAAAAUUAUGACGAGAAAUCCUUUUAUUAGAUAAUAAUCUAUUUUUAUUAAUGUAUAUAUUUCAAUACAUUACAUUGUGUAGAUAAAAGUUGUUAACAUUUUAUAGAUAAGUUAUAAAUCUAUAUUAGUUUGUGACAAAUGAAAGAAAAAAAUAUUUGGAACUAUUAAUUAUAUCUGAUUAUAAUUUGAAAAUAGAUAUACACUGUAUUACAUCAUAUCUAAUUCUAGAGAACUAUUAAUCAUAUCUAAUGUUUUUUUCGUCAUGCUUAUAAGAUAUUGAUUGAUAAUUGGUAUAUAGUUUUAUCGUGACAAGUUACAGAUCAAGUUCAAAUUUUUGUUUCGGUCUAAUAAUUUUGUGCAGAGUUAUGGUCCUUGGACUUGAAAAUUCACUCAUAUAAUCAGUUUUCAACAGUUUUUAGUCAUGCUUGAAGAUAUUGACAUGAUAUUUACUUUUUGUUUACACCAUGACAAGUUAUAGAACAAGUUAGCAUUUUGUUCCAGUAUAAUGAAUUUUUACCCGGUAGGGGACUAUGUAUUGCCAGGCAAUACUCUCAGAAUGCUUGUUAAUAAAGACAUAUGCAAAGGACAGACAAUUAAAAAUUCUAUUAGAGCAAAGAAGUCCUGAGAAAUUCAAGAAAAGAAGAUAGUAUGACUAUUUUACUUGUACAAGUAAAAAAAUCUUAAUGACUAAGGGACAUAACUAAGCCAAUAAAAUACACUUGUAUAAGUUUUUACUGAUAUAAGUAUAGUAAUAUUUACUUCUUUAAGUAAAUAAAAAUGACUUGUACAAGUAGUACCCCUGACUGUAUAUGCUCCCAUGUUUUUUCAAAUAAUAUGUGAUGAGUUUAUUAAUUACAAAUUUUUUUUUAAAUCAAAACAAUAUUAAAUAUAUUAAAUUUUUGUAGUAAACUGAAAAAAUGGCACUUUGAGUUUUUCUUUAUUUUGUGCCCUAUAAUUCAAUUGAAAAUAUGUACAGUGUCAGCUAUUAAAAUUUGUUGUCUUGAUCAACAAUGAAAUUGAUGAACAUUCAUUAAGCAUCCAAUGAAGAAAAAUGCAUCCAUUUCAGAAAAGCCUGUUGAUUUUCUGCUGUAUCCACAUUUCUAUUAUAUUCACAAUUUUUGAACUUAGGGCCACAUUUACAGUUAACUAUUUAGUGUAAAUAUUUGGUCCCUGUGCUGAAGAGAGUGUCUUUACCUCGAGCUCUAGCUCUAUGUGAGGAUUUAUUUGUGUGCUGUGUUAUAUGAUUUAUUUGUGUGCUGUGUUAUAUGAUUUUUAUAGUAUUAUCAUUUAACCUUUCAAAUAUUUACUUCUUGUAAAACAAUACCAGAUUUCACUUUAAACCCAUCCAAUAAAAAUUGACUUUUACAUCAGAUACUCCCUAGAUCUGAGAUAUGAUAAAUGUUCCUUCAUUGCUUGAAACUUGAUUCUCUUGAAUAUUUGUAUACUGUUGUAUGUCUUUUGGUCUUUUUUUUUCACCAUGGGGUUGUCAGUGUUUUUUUUUUUUACUUAUGAGUUUGAAUGUCCCUUUGGUAAAAUUCGCCUUUCUUUUUUAUUCUUGAUUUCCUUUCAUUUCUUGUGUAUGUUCACUGGUUGUACAAUGAUUAUAUGUACUAUGUAGAUAAAGAGUAUGUUGGCUCUGAUUAAUUCCAGUUUGCUUUGAUUCUUCAUUUAAUCAGAAUUUUGUGUAAUGUAAAUAUGAUGUAUUGUAUUCAUAUCAGUUGUUUAUUAAAAUAAUAUUUGUAUUUUUGCUGUUAAUAUGUUUGAAAUUAUACUUUAAUAAAAAAUAGUUUCCAUGCAAAA